rnacentral:rRNA from 1 species
UACGCAGGGGGCUAGCGUUGCUCGGAAUCACUGGGCGUAAAGGGUGCGUAGGCGGGUUUUUAAGUCAGGGGUGAAAUCCUGGAGCUCAACUCCAGAACUGCCUUUGAUACUGAAGAUCUUGAGUCCGGGAGAGGUGAGUGGAACUGCGAGUGUAGAGGUGAAAUUCGUAGAUAUUCGCAAGAACACCAGUGGCGAAGGCGGCUCACUGGCCCGGUACUGACGCUGAGGCACGAAAGCGUGGGGAGCAAACAGG